UACGGAGGGGGCAAGCGUUGUCCGGAUUUAUUGGGCGUAAAGAGCGUGUAGGCGGUCAGGUAGGUCCGUUGUGAAAACUCGAGGCUCAACCUCGAGACGCCGAUGGAAACCAUCUGACUAGAGUCCGGAAGAGGAGAGUGGAAUUCCUGGUGUAGCGGUGAAAUGCGCAGAUAUCAGGAAGAACACCCGUGGCUAAGGCGGCUCUCUAGUACGGUACUGACGCUGAGACGCGAAAGCGUGGGGAGCGAACAGG
rnacentral:rRNA from 1 species